AUGAACGCUGGCGGCGUGCCUAAUACAUGUAAGUCGAGCGAACAGAUGAGGAGCUUGCUCCUCUGACGUUAGCGGCGGACGGGUGAGUAACACGUGGAUAACCUACCUAUAAGACUGGGAUAACUUCGGGAAACCGGAGCUAAUACCGGAUAAUAUAUUGAACCGCAUGGUUCAAUAGUGAAAGACGGUUUUGCUGUCACUUAUAGAUGGAUCCGCGCCGCAUUAGCUAGUUGGUAAGGUAACGGCUUACCAAGGCGACGAUGCGUAGCCGACCUGAGAGGGUGAUCGGCCACACGAGAACUGAGACACGGUCCAGACUCCUACGGGAGGCAGCAGUAGGGAAUCUUCCGCAAUGGGCGAAAGCCUGACGGAGCAACGCCGCGUGAGUGAUGAAGGUCUUCGGAUCGUAAAACUCUGUUAUUAGGGAAGAACAAAUGUGUAAGUAACUAUGCACGUCUUGACGGUACCUAAUCAGAAAGCCACGGCUAACUACGUG
rnacentral:rRNA from 1 species